CCCUUAGAUGUUCUGGGCCGCACGCGCGCUACACUGACGAAUGCAACGAGCUUAUAACCUUGGCCGAAAGGUCUGGGUAAUCUCCAAAUUUCGUCGUGAUGGGGAUAGAUUAUUGCAAUUAUUAAUCUUCAACGAGGAAUGCCUAGUAAGCGCAAGUCAUCAGCUUGCGUUGAUUACGUCCCUGCCCUUUGUACACACCGCCCGUCGCUCCUACCGAUUGAAUGGUCCGGUGAAGCGUUCGGACCGUGGCCUUUGGACGGUUCGCCGUCUGCUGGCUGCGGGAAGUUCGUUAAACCUUAUCAUUUAGAGGAAGGAGAAGUCGUAACA
rnacentral:rRNA from 1 species